UAAAGAUUAACAUUUUUUAAAAAAUGGAUGCUCAUUCCCAGGUUCAUAAAACAUGGGUUUAUGAAGUCUCAAAUGACUGUUCAAACUGACCUACUGCAACAUCUAUUCCUGGGUUCAGAAUUCUAAGUUUUAAAAAGCUACACUGUAAAUUCACAAUAUUACUACGAAAUGACAAGGUGAAGCAAGUGGUGACCAGAGAGGGUGCCUUCUUAGUUGUGACACCCUCUUUAUAGAUCUUCCUCUCCAGAUAAGUUUGCUUGGUAGCCAAUAUUACAUUUUCUUAUUUUCCCAGGCCUUUUAAUGUAUAAUGUUGUAUUUUUUUAAUAUGAUGAUGACUGGUUCUUGUAUUUUACUUUGUUUUUGUAAUGCACUCAUCUCCAUUCUUAAAAUUUGUUCAACCUUGGCAGGCAGAAAUUCCAUUUGGUAACAGCAAGCUUUUAAACCUCGCUGGGUUUCACAAAGCAAAAAUCAAAAUGGAAAGGUAGAGUCAAGUAGCUUAACCAAAUUUAAGAAAUGUAGAUAUUAGAUAAUGGCUCCCUGUAAGCCUUUCCCAUAUUAAAAUUCUUCGUAAUAUUUUAACCAGCAGGUUCCUUGCUGUUUGCUAAAACUGCUCAUUAGGCCACAGCUGCUUUGAGCAGCUUUUACAUUUAAGGCCCUGUCAACUAGAAGAGUGUUCAUCAGUGCACAGAUAAGCCUGGCCACAGUAGGAGAUGACAGUUUUUUUCAUGCCCCUCGAAAUCUCUUAAUUCCUGUCAUUUUUUCUCCCCUCCUACAAAAUCUCAUUCUUGCAGGGAAAAAGACUUCAUGCUGUAACUUGCUUAGCAAGUUCUGUUAAUAUCCAUGACACUAAGAGAGUAUUUGGAUUAAAGGACUACAGCAUACAGACGUUAGCAGAAUUUUCCCACAGACUUAGGCUUUUAAAUACCCCUUCCAUCUCAGUAUCUGUCCAAAUUGAUUAGGCUGUGGAUUGAAUCGUGGUAUAGAAUGAAUGAAUUUUUUUUUGUAGUCUGUGGAUCUUAAUGCAAGAUUCGGAGCUUACACUUCUGGAUCUAAUGAUCUUCUGAAAUGCAGAUUACAAGUGAGAACACCCGCCUGCCUGCUAAACAGCUAAAGGGAUUAUUGGAGACACCAAUAUGGGGAGCAGUAACAUGGGUGCAGCAGUGUGCAGUCCUGGUGUUGUAACUCUGCUGCAUUAUUUGUUAGUAGUAACUUAAUGCUACUGUAAAAUUGGCACAUUGAUGCCUUUUGUGUAGGCAUCUGCCACUCAACAAUAGCAAUGAGCAACCUAUUAAUAUAGUUGUCCCCUCCCAAGGCUGGAACUGAUCUGGAAUGUAGUGGGGGCACUUUCUAAGGUGGAGGCCUCCUGGACUAUAGUGCUUUCAUGGGAGUCUCUUAUGGGCUAGCAGAUUAAAGCAUGUAUGUAGCAGCAGACAUGGUUUGAAUUGUGCCUUUUAUUUGGGAUAGUUGGUGCCAUAAAACAGCUCUCUCAUCCCUACAAACGUUACUUUUAGAUAGUGCAGGCAAGAAGGCGUUGUUAUGUGCCUUCAAGUCGAUUACGACUUUUGGUGACCCUAUGAAUCAGCAACCUCCAAGAGCAUCUGUCAUGAACCACCCUGUUCAGAUCUUGUAAGUUCAGGUCUGUGGCUUCCUUUACGGAAUCAAUCCGUCUCUUGUUUGGCCUUCCUCUUUUUCUACUCCCUUCUGUUUUUCCCAGCAUUGUUGUCUUUUCUAGUGAAUCACGUCUUCUUAUUAUGUGUCCAAAGUAUGAUAACCUCAGUUUCAUCAUUUUAGCUUCUAGUGAUAGUUCUGGUUUAAUUUGUUUAACAUGGCUGCAACCAUAUCUACUCAGAAGUAAGUCCUAUUGAGUUCUAUGGGGCUUAGUUCCUUAAUAAGCAUGUUUACAGUUGCUGCCUUCAGGGGCAUCCAUCUGCGCUCCCAUCUAACAUCUCUGCAACACUAAGCUCCUUUCUUCCAAUAAUGGCCUGGCCUGAGGGCACAUAAUCCCUUCUUGCCAGAAGCAAGUAAGCGAGAUUAAAUGUUCCCUAAAGGCAUUGAACUGUGACCUGGGAGACCAGGGUUCGAAUCCCCACACAGCCAUGAAGCUCACUGGGUAACCUUGGGCCAGUCACUGCCUCUCAGACUCAGAAGAAGGCAAUGGUAAACCACCUCUGUCUGAAUACUGCUUAUUGAAGACCCUAUCUGGGAUCAACUUGAAGGCAGUCCAUUUCCAUUUUGCAUCACCCUAAGCUUGUGAGAAAGAAUGACCUUGUCACUUCAGAUGGACCUAGGAACACCCUAUUUUAGCAACCGAAGCCAGCUGCCUCGGACAAUUGCCACACUUUUUUGGCGGGCUGGACCGGCACCUCUGCCACGAACUUAGCAAGAACUGCCUCUCGCAGGCCCUGCGCUCAGGUCCUGCUUGUGGGCUUCCUGUUGGGGCAUCCGGUCGGCCACUGUGAGAACAGGAUGCUGGACUAGAUGGGCCACCGGCCUGAUCCAGCAGGUUCUUCUUAUGUUCUUACAACACCCAUGGCAGAGGCCCAUUCAUCCAGCUGGGAACACUUGUCAGAACAAAAGUAUCUCCUUGAAAAUACAGGUGUUGGGCACCUGUUGUAUCUCGACAGAACAGCCACACUGAAAGCCCUUUUCUGAGUUACUGUGGAGUGGGCUUCCAAUACCUUUGGAACUCACAGAGGAAGGUCUCCCGCAGGCUGCAGUGACCUACUGGGUAUAUAAGAGGUUAUAUACUGGGUAUAUAAGAAGGCCCAUGAACUUCCCAAACAGAGGUUGGCUAUUAUCAAAGGUGCUAUGGACUUCGAAGAAGCACGGAUACAGGGCGAUAGGGACAAACGAGCUAAGCGGAAGGAACGACAAAUCCUCAUCGCGAUCAUCUUCCAUCUGGAAACCUAUGUCCUCACUGUGGGCUGUGCGGAUCCAGAAUUGGCCUCCACAGUCACUUACAGACCCACUGUUAAAAACCUUAUCUCGGAAGACAAUCUUACGUGGCCACAAGUGAUCGCCAAUUAAAUGAUGAUAUAAACGUAGGUCACUGCAGUCUGCAGAAGACUUUCCCCUGCAAGAUAUCAGAAGGCUCACUCCACAGUAACGCAGAGCAGGGCUUUGCAUGUGGCUACUCCAUUCUGUGGAACAACAUUCCUGUCAGGAUGCAACAGGCGCCCACCAUCUGCUUCUUCCAGAAGACACUUUUGUACUGACAAGCUUGCCCAGCUGGAAAAAUGGGCCUCUGCGAUGGGUGUCAGAAGAAAACAAGAAGAGCCUGCUGGGUCAGGGAAGUGGCCCAUCUAGUCCAGCAUCCUGUUGUCACAGCGGCCAACCAGAUGCCCACGGGAAGGCUGCAAGCAGGACCUGAGCGCAGGACCUGUGGGGGCUGCAGGACCUGAGCGCAACAGCACUCUCCCUUCCUGCGGUUCCCAGCAACUGGUAUUCGGAAGCAUUCUGCCUUCGACCAUGGAGGCAGAGUGUGGCCAUUGGCACCUUUAUCCUCCGUGAAUUUGUCUAACCCUCUUUCAAAGUCAAGUUGGUGGUUUGCCACUGCCUCUCGUGGGAGCAAAUUCCACAGUUUAACUAUGCACUGCGUGAAGAAAUACUUUCCUUUAUCUGUCAAUUAAAAAAAUGCUUUUCAGAUAAAAAGAAACAAAACACAAGGGAUGAAAUACAAACUAAAUACUCUCUCCCUCCAGGGGAACGUCCUGUUGAAAAAUACAAGAAACUAUCAGCUAGUCAUUCAUCAAACAAAGGUGCCCUUCCACAUUUCACCGUGGGUCACCAGUGGCCUAUCCAUGUUCCUUAGUUGCAGCAUAACUAAUAAAAGAGAACCAAA